rnacentral:tRNA from 1 species
ACCGAAAUAGCUCAGUUGGGAGAGCGUUAGAUUAUAAACCAAAAGUCCAUGGUUUGAUCCCAGAUUCCGGGA